UUUGCCCUCCCUGCUCCCUGCCCCAUAUAAGCAGAGCAGGAGGAGCCCAGCCCCAAGCUGGGCCCAUUGCGGGCCAAGGGAUCCUCCGCCGGCAUCCCAGGUGAGUGCGCACGGGCGAGCACCGGGGUGUGGUGGAGGGUUUCAAAGGCCGGGGGGCCUCGCUGGCCCCCCGGCUAGCUAGGGCCACCUUAGGGCUAGGCUGCUGACCAUUUGCGACGCUGACUUUUAGCUCACGGUGCUAAGGUUGUGCUGUUGUUGUUCUUGAGGCUGAGCUUUGUUUAGGAGUUUGCCUGCUUGAAGGACUUGUCACAGGUUCUGCCGUGGGUGAGAAGAUGCAGAUGGAGACGGAGACGAAGACAGAGAUGAAGAUGAAGACGAAGACGAAGACAGAGGCGAAGAUGGAGGUAGUGGUAAUGGUGGAGCAGGAGCUGGUAAGCCUGCAGCUAACCGCAGCGGUGCCUCAACUCCAGAGCCACCAGGAAGAUGUCACUGUCUUCAGAGGCCACUGAAAAGGCUUUCAAGGCAACGUUUGGCUGUGCUCUCUCACUCCCAGGUCACAGCCUUCCUGCUUCCCAGCAGCAGCUGUGCUGUGCUCCAGAUGCUCCUGAGUGGUGCAGAGAAGCUGCACCAUCUCUGCCCCCAGAAACCCCUUGGGGAGGCUGAAGGCUUUGCCCACCGGCAGCAGCUGUGACCCAUCUCGGAGCCCUCAAGUGGCUCUUGCACUGUUCCCUGCCUGUCCCUUUGUCCUGUGCUGCUGCUUUGUGCCAGGCCCAUUUGCUGCUCAUGAUUUCCCCUUUUGG